GACGAACGCUGGCGGCGUGCUUAACACAUGCGAGUCGAACGGAAAGGCCCUGCUUGCCGGGUACUCGAGUGGCGAACGGGUGAGUAACACGUGGGUGAUCUGCCCUGCACUUCGGGAUAAGCCUGGGAAACUGGGUCUAAUACCGGAUAGGAGCCAUUUUUAGUGUGAUGGUUGGAAAGUUUUUUCGGUGUAGGAUGAGCUCGCGGCCUAUCAGCUUGUUGGUGGGGUAAUGGCCUACCAAGGCGGCGACGGGUAGCCGGCCUGAGAGGGUGGACGGCCACAUUGGGACUGAGAUACGGCCCAGACUCCUACGGGAGGCAGCAGUGGGGAAUAUUGCACAAUGGGCGCAAGCCUGAUGCAGCGACGCCGCGUGGGGGAUGACGGCCUUCGGGUUGUAAACUCCUUUCGCUAGGGACGAAGCUUUUGUGACGGUACCUAGAGAAGAAGCACCGGCUAACUACGUG
rnacentral:rRNA from 1 species